GACGAACGCUGGCGGCGUGCUUAACACAUGCAAGUCGAGCGGUAAGGCCCUUUCGGGGGUACACGAGCGGCGAACGGGUGAGUAACACGUGGGUGACCUGCCCUUAGCUCUGGGAUAAGCCUGGGAAACUGGGUCUAAUACCGGAUAUGACUCCAUGACGCAUGUUGUGGGGUGGAAAGCCUUGUGCGGCUAGGGAUGGGCCCGCGGCCUAUCAGCUUGUUGGUGGGGUGAUGGCCCUACCAAGGCGACGACGGGUAGCCGGCCUGAGAGGGCGACCGGCCACACUGGGACUGAGACACGGCCCAGACUCCUACGGGAGGGCAGCAGUGGGGAAUCUUGCGCAAUGGGGCGAAAGCCUGACGCAGCGACGCCGCGUGAGGGAUG
rnacentral:rRNA from 1 species